rnacentral:tRNA from 1 species
GGUUGUGGGUUAGUGGUAGAGCACUUGCCUAGUAUGUGCAAGACCCUGAGUUCGAUCCCCAGCACCA